GACUUGAUGGCUGUUGACUUGAAACGUGGAGAAACUCUUCCAAUCCACAUAAAUAUGACUUUCCCAUCUUUACCUUGUGAUGUUUUAAGUGUGGAUGCUAUUGACAUGUCUGGCAAGCAUGAGGUCGAUCUUGAUACAAAUAUAAGGAAACUUCGUUUGAGUAGUGAUGGCCACACUA